rnacentral:ribozyme from 1 species
GCCGGGACAAGGUUUGCCGUGAAUUUCGAAAACUUUUUCGGCGUGGCAUACAACGUGACUAACGUGCUCUCUCUUGCUGUCCUCACGUACACCAAGGCCGGAAGCUGGUCGGUUCGUACAAAAGUGCUCUAUCCAUACAUCAU